rnacentral:rRNA from 1 species
GACAGAGGGGGCAAGCGUUGCUCGGAAUUACUGGGCGUAAAGGGCGUGUAGGCGGUCGGUCAAGUCUGGUGUGAAAGCCCGGGGCUCAGCUCCGGAAGUGCAUCGGAAACUAGCUGGCUGGAGCGCGAUAGAGGAGGGCGGAAUUCCUGGUGUAGCGGUGAAAUGCGUAGAUAUCAGGAGGAACACCGGCGGCGAAGGCGGCCCUCUGGAUCGUUGCUGACGCUGAGACGCGAAAGCGUGGGGAGCAAACAGG